AUGUAUGCCAUGGUUUGUUCUCGUCCGGAUUUAUCAUAUGCGUUGAGUGUUGUCAGUAGAUACAUGGCUAAUCCUAGAAAAGAGCAUUGGAGAGCAGUUCAGUGGAUUUUCAGAUACCUGCGUGGUACUUCUAAUGCUUAUUUACAGUUUGGGAAAACUGGAGAUGGACUUGUUGGUUUUGUUGAUUCUGAUUUUGCUGGUGAUUUGGAUAAGAGAAGAUCACUCACAGGUUAUGUUUUCACCAUUGGUGGUUGUGCUGUGAGUUGGAGAGCAACUUUGCAGUCUAUUGUGGCUUGUUCCACUACUGAUGCCGAGUAUAUGGCUAUUUCUGAGGCAUGCAAAGAAGCUAUCUGGUUGAGAGGUUUGUACAAUGAGCUUUGUGGAGAUUCAUCUUGCCCUACCAUAUUUUCUGAUAGUCAAAGUGCCAUAUAUCUUACAAAGAAUCCAAUGUAUCAUGAGAGGACAAAGCACAUUGAUGUUAGAUUUCACUAUAUUCGAGAUGUUGUUGCUGAAGGUGAUUUGAAGGUAUGCAAGAUAAGUACUCAUGAUAAUCCUGCUGAUAUGAUGACAAAGCCAGUUCCUACCAAUAAGUUUGAGCUUUGCUCAGGCUUAGUUGGUAUUUCUCAUUAG
rnacentral:rRNA from 1 species